UGGCGGACGGGUGAGUAAUGUCUGGGAAACUGCCCGAUGGAGGGGGAUAACUACUGGAAACGGUAGCUAAUACCGCAUAACGUCGCAAGACCAAAGAGGGGGACCUUCGGGCCUCUUGCCAUCGGAUGUGCCCAGAUAGGAUUAGCUAGUAGGUGGGGUAACGGCUCACCUAGGCGACGAUCCCUAGCUGGUCUGAGAGGAUGACCAGCCACACUGGAACUGAGACACGGUCCAG
rnacentral:rRNA from 1 species